rnacentral:lncRNA from 1 species
AAAGGCGAUAAUAACAAGUGCAAUAAUUGCUAAGACAAAUACCCCAAAUAUAGACUGACAAAAUGAUAAUUUUGACAAAAACAUUAGCAUGAUCAACAAAUGAGAAAUUGUUGGUGGCUACUUUAAGCUCAGCGGGGGUGAAUAAUGGUGCAGCAACAGUCCUGAUAUCCACAGCGGAAGCAAAAGCAUGCGCUGGGGAAGGGGAUGAUCCCAAAUCUGCUUCAGUAGCAUUACUACUCCUUAUGGCACUGUCCACUAACGAAACAAAACUACGGACACGAGAUUCUCAACAAUGCUCUCAACCAUUUCAGUAUCCAUUUUAUUUGCUUUGGCGGAGGCACUGAGCACAUAUGUCAUAUACAGACACCAAAGCACAUACAUAUAUAUAUUAAUUGAGAA